GUUAGCAGUAAGCAACUUAAAUUUGAAAAGCAACAUCAUUCACAAUAAAAUAUUUUUAAAAUUCUUGAAUAUUUAGGAAUAAGCAUAAAAAGCAAAAAGAGAUGUGUAAGACCCCAAACACUAAAAAUUGAAAAACAUUACCAAGAAAAAAUGAGAGAAACUCUAAAUAAAUGGAGAACUAUGUUAUUAUGAUCAUUGACUUGAAAAGUCAAUGUUUUAUAGAUACUAAUUAUCUUCAAAUUAAUGUAUGAAUUUAAUGCAAAAAUGCUGAUCAAAUCAAUUACCAGGCAUUAACAACAUAGUUCUAAAAUUUGAAUUGAAGGACCAAGAACCUAGAAUAGCCGAAGCUAUCUAGACAAAACUUGCUACCUGCUUUCAGAAUUCAAGGUUUUCUGUAAAGAUUCUUUCAUUAAGAGAAUAGGGUGCCCACAUAAGGACUGGCAAAUAGAUCAGUGGGACAGAACAGAGACCCCAGAAGAAAAUUCACACUUACGUGUUAUUCAGUUUUUGAUGAGAUACAAAUAUCUCAUUUUUUCCAAUGGGGAAAGAAAAGUUUUUUUCAACAUAUUGUGG
rnacentral:lncRNA from 1 species